AGCUAGUUGGUGGGGUAAAGGCCUACCAAGGCGACGAUGGGUAGCCGGCCUGAGAGGGUGUCCGGCCACACUGGGAUUGAGAUACGGCCCAGACUCCUUCGGGAGGCAGCAGUCGAGAAUCUUCCACAAUGUACGAAAGUAUGAUGGAGCGACGCCGCGUGUGUGAUGAAGGCUCAACGAGUUGUAAAGCACUGUCAGGGGGGAAGAAUCAGCGCAUAACUAAUAAAUAUGCGCUCUGACGUACCCCCAGAGGAAGCUCCGGCUAACUCCGUGCCAGCAGCCGCGGUAAUACGGAGGGAGCAAGCGUUGUCCGGAAUUAUUGGGCGUAAAGGGCACGCAGGCGGUUCGGUAAGUCGAAUGUGAAAUCUUACAGCUUAACUGUAAAACUGCGUUCGAAACUACCGAACUUGAGUACUGGAGAGGUAUGCGGAAUUCCUGGUGGAGCGGUGGAAUGCGUGGAUAUCAGGAAGAACACCGGUGGCGAAGGCGGCAUACUGGCCAAGUACUGACGCUCAGGUGCGAAAGCGUGGGGAGCAAACGGGAUUAGAUACCCCGGUAGUCCACGCUGUAAACGAUGGGUACUAGGUUUUGGAGGUCUCAACCCCUUCAGAGCCGCAGCUAACGCAUUAAGUACCCCGUCUGGGGAAUACGGUCGCAAGGCUGAAACUCAAAGGAAUUGACGGGGGCCCGCACAAGCGGUGGAGCAUGUGUUUUAAUUCGAAGCAACGCGAAGAACCUUACCAGGGUAUGACAUGUGAGCUUCGACCUUCGGGAAGAGGUUAAUCCUGUGAAAGCAGGACGAAUCACACAGGUGUUGCAUGGCUGUCGUCAGCUCGUGUCGUGAGAUGUUGGGUUAAGUCCCGCAACGAGCGCAACCCUUGCUGUUAGUUACCAUCGGGUAAUGCCGGGGACUCUAGCAGGACUGCCGGUGAUAAACCGGAGGAAGGUGGGGAUGAUGUCAAGUCAUUAUGACCCUUUACACCCUGGGCUAACCACGUGCUACAAUGGUCGGUACAAAGGGGAGCGAUACCGCGAGGUGGAGCAAAUCCCAAAAAGCCGGCCUCAGUACGGAUUGCAGUCUGCAACUCGACUGCAUGAAGCUGGAAUCGCUAGUAAUCGUGGAUCAGCAUGCCACGGUGAAUACGUUCCCGGGCAUU
rnacentral:rRNA from 1 species